rnacentral:rRNA from 1 species
AGCGAACGCUGGCGGCAGGCCUAACACAUGCAAGUCGAACGAACUCUUCGGAGUUAGUGGCGGACGGGUGAGUAACACGUGGGAACGUGCCCUUAGGUUCGGAAUACCUCAGGGAAACUUGUGCUAAUACCGAAUGUGCCCUUCGGGGGUAAGAUGUAUCGCCUUUGGAGCGGCCCGCGUCUGAUUAGCUAGUUGGUGAGGUAAUGGCUCACCAAGGCGACGAUCAGUAGCUGGUCUGAGAGGAUGAUCAGCCACAUUGGGACUGAGACACGGCCCAAACUCCUACGGGAGGCAGCAGUGGGUAAUCUUGCGCAAUGGGCGAAAGCCUGACGCAGCCAUGCCGCGUGAAUGAUGAAGGUCUUAGGAUUGUAAAAUUCUUUCACCGGGGACGAUAAUGACGGUACCCGGAGAAGAAGCCCCGGCUAACUUCGUG